UGGGGAAUCUUGCGCAAUGGGCGAAAGCCUGACGCAGCGACGCCGCGUGAGUGAUGAAGGCCUUCGGGUUGUAAAGCUCUGUGGGGAGAGAAGAAUAAGUGCGGGCUAAUACCCCGCAUGAUGACGGUAUCUCCUUAGCAAGCACCGGCUAACUCUGUGCCAGCAGCCGCGGUAAGACAGAGGGUGCAAACGUUGUUCGGAAUUACUGGGCGUAAAGCGAGUGUAGGCGGUUUGGUAAGUCGGAUGUGAAAGCCCCGGGCUCAACCCGGGAAGUGCAUUCGAUACUGCCAAGCUAGAGUAUCGGAGAGGUUGGUGGAAUUCUCGGUGUAGAGGUGAAAUUCGUAGAUAUCGAGAGGAACACCGGUGGCGAAGGCGGCCAACUGGACGAAUACUGACGCUGAGACUCGAAAGCGUGGGGAGCAAACAGGAUUAGAUACCCUGGUAGUCCCUGAGCGGGCUGGCAAGGCGCAU
rnacentral:rRNA from 1 species